UACGGGGGGGGUAAGCGUUGUUCGGAAUUACUGGGCGUAAAGGCUCGUAGGCGGCCAACUAAGUCAUACGUGAAAUCCCUCAGCUUAACUGGGGAACUGCGUCUGAGACUGGAUGGCUUGAGUGCAGGAGAGGAACGCGGAAUUCCAGGUGUAGCGGUGAAAUGCGUAGAUAUCUGGAGGAACACCGGUGGCGAAGGCGGCGUUCUGGACUGCAACUGACACUGAUGAACGAAAGCCAGGGGAGCAAACGGG
rnacentral:rRNA from 1 species